rnacentral:tRNA from 1 species
GGCUGGAUAGCUCAGUCGGUACAGCAUGAGACUUUUAAUCCCAAGGUUGUGGGUUCGAGCCCCACGUUGGGUG